rnacentral:lncRNA from 1 species
CACCAGUGGAGGCUCAGUUGGAAAUACGGAAAUCACCCGUCUUCUGCGUCAAUCUCGCUGGGAGCUGUUCCUAUUCGGCCAUCUUGGAAGCCUCCUGACUCUUUCACAACUUCUCAAUAAAUAAGAGAUGACUGAAUGUCUUUUUAAGUCCAUUUGUCAGGAGCCAGAGGCCUGGACUAGAAACUUCACCUGAUCUCCUGCCCCUCCUUGUGCCAUAGCAAGUCACAGAUUUUUCUAAGAGCAAAUCAACCAAAAGUAAAAAUAGAACCUGUUGAUUUUCCUAAGAGGAAAUCAACCAAAAAUAAAAAUAAAACCUGUUUCUUGAGGUGUUUGACUUAGGAAUUCUUUCCUGGGCCUCAGAAACAUUGGAACUUUCAUUUUUACUCUUCUCACCAGCACCUGUUAGUUUGGAGACAAAGUUAGACUUUAGCUCUUGGAAGCAGCAAUGUGCCAGAAACCCUGACAAUGAACCGCUGUCUCUGACUAAUUGUUCUAGUGGAGAUGUCUCCUGUUUGACUUGAUUUUAAACUGUGGAGCACGUCAAGAGAAAGCUCACUGAUCUGCCGAGGGUUUGUGCUUUUCUGUCUUCAUGCAUCUGUUGUGGGUGAAGAGAGCAAAGAUUCUUCAUUCAAUCAAAGGCCCCCUUUGGAGAUGCUGAGAAGGAAAUUUCCUUUGGAAAUUCCCAAAGGUAGGUUCUUUGGGGAAGUGAGAACUCUGCUGCUUCAACCUUAGCCCAGCCUGCCCUCCUGGUGGGAAAGACCAGCCGUGUCUUGGCUUCCAAAGAACCAGGAGACAGAAGGAAUUUAUGGCUGGAAGCCCAGCAUGGUCGUGUCCCCUGGGCCCAGUUGCUUCCCCUCUGUGGUUUCCAUAUCUAUGUGUUAAGAGAAAGCAUCUGAAACUUUGAAAUAAGGAAGAAGAUGACUGCGUGUCCUUUGAAUGCCACAUUAAAGCACUGUCAGACAGGCCCUGCCCAAUGGCAAUUUAAUUCUUCAGGGCACGGGCCAAAUCUGGCUGCUGCCUGUUUUUGUAAAUAAAGUUCUAUUGGAACACAGCCACACCCAUUCGCGUACAGAUUGUCUGUGCUGCUUUCAUUUUGCAACCACGGCUGCAUUUGAGUGGUUGCAACAGAGACCAUAUGGCCCACAAAGCUGA